AUGGAAUAUCUCUAUGUCAAGAAGUACCAAACAGACAAGCUGAAGCAGAAACGGAUAACAACGACUUUGGGAGGCUGCAUAUAUCAGCUAGCAGUUCGGUGUCUAGACUUCAACAAUUUUGGAUCAAUAACAAUCCCUCCAGCACUACCUAGGAUUUGUUUCUGGAAAGGACAAACCAUUAAACAUUUCAGUGAUAUGCUCCUCGGGAAAGAUGGACUCUAUGGAGCUCUUCAAAUCAAAGAUGAGGCAGAAACUUGCUAUGCACAAACUGACGGUGCAUGGGCAAGCACCGCCAAGAACUCAAACAUAAAAAAAGCUAUACAAAGGGUCUUAGGCAACUCUUUUUCAGAGAAGAUCAAAGAAGAUAUAUUCCUCAGUUUCCAGGAGCGCAUAAAAGAUCAAAACCUGACCACAUGUCUGAUAGCAAAACAAGUGCUGCUAGACAGUUUGAACAUUGUUUCUUCUUAUUUCAAUGGCUCUCAACGUACAGAGAAGUUAGAGUCCUCCGAGCAUUUAUACAUGCCAACUGACGAAGAUAAUGGGUCUGGCAGUACUAUUAGAGUUGAUUCCAAUGGGAUUGAAAUAAACAGUGAUGGAAGAGGCAGGAAGAAGAGAAUGAAGACUAGUACACAACAGUCAGAAACUUCAGAAACUAAGGACAAUCAAUUGGAAGUUAAAAUAAAGGGAGGCAUACUUGAAGUAGUUGUAGAAGGAGGUGAAGCCGAAAUGCAGUCACUACCGGGCAAUGGUCACACAAACAAGCUCGAAAAAGAAGCUCGAAUGGAACAAACCAUGCAGAAUAGCAACAUUGCAACACAGCAACCAGAGAUGAAUAUGCUUGAUGCAGAUACCAAUAUCCCCAAGUGCACUGCUUGUGAUUGUUCUGCUCAAAAAGAAGCACCAGAAAAGAGCACUAGUCUGAACUACAUGUUGUUAUCAGCUAGAUUGGCAAGAGCACUGGAAACGACAGAACAAGACAUCAACUCAAAGGAGGAAGCCAGCACGCAUGUACCACCAACUUUCCCAGGUUUCCAACAAAACGCUAUUAACAGUAAUCAAUCUGAGCAUUGCAUCGAAACCAAGACAUUGUAUCAAGAAAACAAAGCAGCAGCAAUUGAGUGUGUGGAACUAGACACCACUGCCUCCCCACAAGACAACAAUAACCAAGAUGAUUUUCGUUUCAAUGAAGUCAAGGAGCAGGGGAAACAUGCAGGACUUGAUAUUGAUAUCAACAUAUCACUAUCAAACAGUGGUGUAGAUGACAAGCUGAAACAUGUGGAAGAUUUCCAACACACUAUGCAUCCAUUGGACGUUGCAAGACAAAAGUAUUUCUUUUCUGAUGAUAUGACACCUAGCUGCAGAAUUUUUGUUGACCAUGAUGAUUGUGGGAACGAAAUAACAGAGCCAGAAUUGUGGCGUGAUUUAGACAUGGACUCGAAUGCAUACGAAGCCCAGAUAGAGAAGCUAAGAAAAAAUAUCCAUGGAAUACAAGUAAGGACAUAA
rnacentral:rRNA from 1 species